rnacentral:rRNA from 1 species
UACGAAGGGGGCUAGCGUUGUUCGGAAUUACUGGGCGUAAAGCGCGCGCAGGCGGCUAUCCAAGUCAGUGGUGAAAGCCCGGAGCUCAACUCCGGAACUGCCAUUGAAACUGUUUAGCUUGAGGACGAGAGAGGUGAGUGGAAUUCCCAGUGUAGAGGUGAAAUUCGUAGAUAUUCGCAAGAACACCAGUGGCGAAGGCGGCUCACUGGCCCGGUACUGACGCUGAGGCACGAAAGCGUGGGGAGCAAACAGG